rnacentral:rRNA from 1 species
UACGAAGGGGGCUAGCGUUGCUCGGAAUCACUGGGCGUAAAGCGCACGUAGGCGGAUUUCUAAGUCAGGGGUGAAAUCCUGGAGCUCAACUCCAGAACUGCCUUUGAUACUGGGAAUCUCGAGUCCGGGAGAGGUGAGUGGAACUGCGAGUUUAGAGGUGAAAUUCGUAGAUAUCAGGAAGAACACCAAUGGCGAAAGCAGCUUUCUGGGACGGUACUGACGCUGAGACGCGAAAGCGUGGGGAGCGAACAGG